rnacentral:rRNA from 1 species
CAUAUCAAUAAGCGGAGGAAAAGAAACUAACAAGGAUUCCCCUAGUAACUGCGAGUGAAGCGGGAAAAGCUCAAAUUUAAAAUCUGGCAGUCUUUGGCUGUCCGAGUUGUAAUCUAGAGAAGUGUUAUCCGCGCUGGACCGUGUACAAGUCUCCUGGAAUGGAGCGUCAUAGAGGGUGAGAAUCCCGUCUUUGACACGGACUGCCAGGGCUUUGUGAUGCGCUCUCAAAGAGUCGAGUUGUUUGGGAAUGCAGCUCAAAAUGGGUGGUAAAUUCCAUCUAAAGCUAAAUAUUGGCGAGAGACCGAUAGCGAACAAGUACCGUGAGGGAAAGAUGAAAAGAACUUUGGAAAGAGAGUUAAACAGUACGUGAAAUUGCUGAAAGGGAAACGCUUGAAGUCAGUCGCGUUGGCCAGGGAUCAACCUUGCUUUUGCUUGGUGUACUUUCUGGUUGAUGGGUCAGCAUCAAUUUUGACUAUUGGAGAAAGGUCAGGGGAAUGUGACAUCUUCGGAUGUGUUAUAGCCCUUGGUUGUAUACAAUGGUUGGGAUUGAGGAACUCAGCACGCCGCAAGGCCGGGUUUUUAACCACGUACGUGCUUAGGAUGCUGGCAUAAUGGCUUUAAUCGACCCGUCUUGAAACACGGACCAAGGAGUCUAACAUACCUGCGAGUGUUUGGGUGGAAAACCCGAGCGCGUAAUUAAAGUGAAAGUUGAGAUCCCUGUCGUGGGGGGCAUCGACGCCCGGACCAGACCUUUUGUGACGGUUCCGCGGUAGAGCAUGUAUGUUGGGACCCGAAAGAUGGUGAACUAUGCCUGAAUAGGGUGAAGCCAGAGGAAACUCUGGUGGAGGCUCGUAGCGAUUCUGACGUGCAAAUCGAUCGUCAAAUUUGGGUAUAGGGGGGCGAAAGACUAAUCGA